UACGGGGGGAGCAAACGUUGUUCGGAAUCACUGGGCGUAAAGGGCGCGUAGGCGGUCUUAUAAGUGAGGUGUUAAAUCUCCCGGCUCAACCGGGAACCUGCACUUCAUACUGUUUGACUUGAGUACAGCAGAGGAGACUGGAAUUCCAGGUGUAGCGGUGAAAUGCGUAGAUAUCGGGAGGAACACCAGUGGCGAAGGCGAGUCUCUGGGCUGAUACUGACGCUGAGGCGAGAAAGCCAGGGGAGCAAACGGG
rnacentral:rRNA from 1 species